CACGACUGGAUAGGCCUUUUGGAUACGCUUGUCCAAGGCCCAAGACAUAAAGUAGCCUGCAAUCAUUCCAUUGCUGACCCAUCGGAUGGUUAUCACAUAGAGGAUUGGCUUAAUCUAGAAUCAUGGAUACCUUUCAUGUGAGUACUCACACACCAGAUUUUUUACAUACCUCAGAAGGACCAACUGGGAUUGCAAUAUCUGGAAGCACUGUCUCAUGUACAAUUGUUCAUGUUAUCUCUGAAAUGUCUAACAAAAUGUUGACUUGACCGUUUCAUCAAGAUCUGCGCAUCACAAGUUGGAACUAGUGGUCAAAAUUGGGACAAUGUUGCCCAAAAUAAAUGUUUUCAUGGAGUGAACAAGACCUGCCAACAGAGCUCACUGGAGCAGGGAGACAUCCC